CAAGGACUUCGUCUAUGUUGUUCACGGCAGUAUCUCCAAUCCCUACAACAAUGCAUGGCACAGGCAAACAAGUGCUGAAUGAAUGACUAACUUCAGGCCUUGGGAAAGGCUCCCACAGGCAAGAGCACAUCCUACUGGAGCUGAGGAAGAAAACAAUCUGUCCAUACCCACUGCCUGGAGAAUGGUCUGUUGCCAGAAGCUGGAUGACUUCAGGUCUAGCCAAAUGCCAAGCUAUGCUAAGGGAAGUUGGGGUUCUUGUCCUGGAGAAUUGCAGAAUGGUGGGGAGAAUGUAUUGUCUAGACACUUGCAUUUCUCAGAGUUUGAAUGAAAGUGUAUUCCCCGGUUUAAUAAGAGCCUGGCAGCCUCUCCUUAUGAAUAAGGCAUAUGUGUCUAACAGAGAAAGUCUUAACCCUUGAGAGGCAGGGUAGCAUAAGAAAGAACCGGAGACCUGUCUGCUGACCCCUGCUUUUGUUCACUUACAUGCUUGCUGUGUGACCCUGGACAAAUCACUUCAUCUCUGGGUCUUUGGUUUCCUAAUGAGUGUAAUGAGAUCCUUUCCAAUUAUAAUUCUCUGUGAUUCUCCUCAUAUGUAUGGCUAUAAACCACAAUGCCCUUACUGGUCCCGCAAGUGAUAUACAAAUAAAGAGUUGCUGCUUGUUGUUUUUUU